UACGGGGGGAGCAAGCGUUGUUCGGAUUUACUGGGCGUAAAGGGCGCGUAGGCGGCGUGACAAGUCACUUGUGAAAUCUCCGGGCUUAACUCGGAGCGGUCAAGUGAUACUGUCGUGCUAGAGUACAGAAGGGGCAACUGGAAUUCUCGGUGUAGCGGUGAAAUGCGUAGAUAUCGAGAGGAACACCUGCGGCGAAGGCGGGUUGCUGGGCUGAUACUGACGCUGAGGCGCGAAAGCCAGGGGAGCGAACGGG
rnacentral:rRNA from 1 species